rnacentral:lncRNA from 1 species
GGAGGGGGAGGCGUGUGCGUCCCAGGACGCCCUGGAGGAACUUUGUGGCUCCUGAUUUCCCCGACCCUGGCACAGUGGAAGCUGGGCGAGGCAGGUAGCCGGCCCGCAGCAUCCGAGAUGCUAAGGAGGAGCAGAAUUGCAGGAAGGUCUCCGCUGUCCUGACAGGAUCUCAUGCCACCCAGGCUGGCCUCAAACUUGAUAUACAGCUUAGGAUGUCCUUGAAAUACUCAUCCAUUUGACUCUGCCCAACAAAUGCUACCAUUACAGGUGUGAGCCAACACACCAGGGUCCAGCAUCAGCAGUUGGAAGAGCGCUGUCCAACAAGCCAGCGAAGAAAAGACCGUGGGCUGGUGUAGCUCAGUGGUAGCACACUGGCAUACGGCUUUAGGGACUGCAUCUGCAGUACCUUAAGAAGUAUUCUUUAACCUUGGAGUGAGCCAGU